rnacentral:lncRNA from 10 species
GCAGCUUGUUCUGGAUCCAGCCCAGGAGCCUCUGCUUGGGGGUCUGCUUCUUGGCCUCCUCAUCCUCCUCCUCGUCCCACAUGGGCAUGGAGAUGGAGUAGCCCAGGAUCAGCUUCAGGUUCCCGUCCACGAUGGCCUUGCUGUCUGUGAGUAGAAGAGUGGCCACGCUGGGCACACGGCUGUGCGGGAGGGGCCGAUCCCAGGCUUUGGGGUCAGGGUCUGGCAGCACGGGGUAGCAGGGGCCAAGGAGGAGGUAGACACCCCCUCUUGGCCAGUGGUAGGAUGUGGAUGAGGCCCUCUCUGCCCAGGGUCCCAGGGGGUGUUCAGAGGUGAAGGAGACUUUGGGGUGAGGGCAGAUACACACAGACACACACACACGAUGCCAGCAGGGUAUGAUUACUGCCAGAAGCCCUGGGCCCAGAGGAAGGGCAGAGGGCAGACCCAGCCUGCAGAUGGGCAGCUCUGG